UUGUUGAGGAGUAAGGUCUCCACAGCGACGAUUAUGUGUCCGCACCUUGAGAGGGAUAUGGCCCACAUGAGAUGUGACACAGUGCCGAGUCUUAUGGGGGGCGGCAGCUGUGGAGUAUUUUGCACUGUGGGAAAACCCGAUACAGAAAAACCCCGUGAGAAAUAAAAACGCUUUGAGUGUUAUAGAUCUGUCUCAUAUGAAAAUAUAGUCGCUGUCCUAUAUGAAAACGCCAGGGCAAAUAUGUGCCACCGCAGCCGGUGUUAUAUAUAGGGCAAGAGUGUUCUCGGAAUUAUUGUGGGUAAAGAGUAUGUGUAGGGUUUCUCAUAUCUCAGAUGAAAAAUUCCGGGUCUACAGUAGUGAGCUUCAUUAAAAUGGUGAAUCUUUAGUGUGCAGAAGAAAGUGGAAUUCUCCGUGUAGCGGUGAAAUAAGUAGUUAUUAUUAGGAACACCACCAGUGAAGAAGACUUUUUUGUGUACAAUAAACGAUGAUGCAGCAUAGAAGCGUGAGCAGCCAACAUUAUAUACCACCGUAGUACUCCAUGUAAUCAAUGAUUAAUAGUUGUUGUAUGUCGAAUGUACCCGCUGUGGUUAGCACUUUACACAAUAAGCAUUGGGCGUACGGUGUCAGGUCUCAAAAUCAAAAGUAUAGAGAAUGACCGGCACACGUCGCAGACCGUGUAGCAUAAUUUGUAGUUAGAAGCAGAACGUUGCACAUGACUUACAUCCGUCUUCCCAGCCCUUACCCGGACUGAUGGUAUUCGUUAGGCACAGGGGGCCGGGGGGGGCUGGGUGUUGUUAAGUUGGGUUGUGGAGUGGUGGGUUUAGUUCCGGAAAGAAGGCAAACCCUUUUCUUUGGUUCCUUCCGUUAAGUUGGGCACUCUAGAGAGACUGCCGGGGUUAACUGGGAGGAAGGUGGGGAUGACGUCAAAUCAUCAUGCCCCUUAUGUUUAGGGCUACACACGUGCUACAAUGGUUGGUACAAUGGGAUGCAAGACCGCGAGGUGGAGCUAAUCUCAUAAAAACAGUCUCAGUUCGGAUUGUAGGCUGAAACUCGCCUACAUGAAG
rnacentral:rRNA from 1 species